ensembl:lncRNA
UGUGACUGGCCUGCGACGUCACAGGCAUGUUUGGCUUGCUGGCGUUUGUUGAUGCUUCUAGCAUUCCUCCGCCAAGCGAGUGCGGACUCGGGGGUCCUCACACGGGAAGGGUUCGGUGGGCGCGUCCCCUCCGGGGGAAGCCCAUGGUGAGCCUGACCCUCUAAGCUGCCCCGCGUCUCUUGAGGGUUACCAUCCGGACGUGAGGUGGGACCUUGUGAAGUUACCUGCCCAGCACUCGCUUUAAAGACAGACAGCGACUUUCAUGAAUAGAUUUCCUGCCGUCACACCACCCUUGCAUUCGUGGAGCAAACCCCACUUGGUCAUGAUGUGCUGUCUUUUUAAUGUGCUUUUAGAUUCCGCCUGCUGGUUUUUAAAGGAAUUUUUGUGUGUAUCCUCAUUGGGAGAGAGCAGUGGGUCUCAAACUUUUGGUCUCUUCACACUCUUAAAAAAGCGCUGAGUCCUCCAAUGGCUUUUUGUUCUUGUGGGUCACGACUACUGUGGUUCCGAGCUGGGGGUGGCCCUCCCCCACCCAAGGGGGCAUUCGGCAAGACAUGACUGGUGUGGUGGGGUGUCUCUCCUGGACUGGCACCUAGUGGGUAGAAGUCAGGGGUACUGCCAGAUGACCUGCAGUGCCCAGGACAGCCCGAGACAGAGGAGCACCCGGUCCAAAAUAUCAGUAGUGCCGCACUUGAGAAACUGCUACUGAUAUGCAAUAGCUGAGAAAUUAACACAGAAUAUUUUAUUUUAUUUUAUUUUGUUGGCCUUUUAGGGCCACGCUCACGCCUGGGAACCUCCAUAUGCCGUGGGAGUGGCCCAAGAAAUAGCAACAACAACAACAACAAAAGACAAAAAGACAAAUAAUAAUAAUAAUAAUAAUAAUAAUAAUAAUUUAUUUGAAAGAGUAGCAAUAACCUCAUAACAUGUUAACAAACAUUUAUAAUUAAGAAAAACUACACUUUCCAAAACCGAGAGAAAUGUAAUGAGGGAGAGGUGUUAUUUCCUAUUUCUACGAUGUAAUUCGCCUCUCAGACAUCUGACCUAAGGGACCCCUGAAACAUCUGCUUCUGCAUCAGUGUGUCUUACCGUGUUGCUUGGUGGAGGAUUGUAAAGAAAAUUCUGCGUCACCAAGUAUGUGCUUGGAAAACAGACGACUCUCAGAUCCCUGACGGCCCUGGGGACCCCUGGGGACCUCACGUCACACUCGAGAGUGUUGAUUUGGACCAGUUUCCUUCCUUCACCCCUGCCUUCCGAAUUCAUUCUCCCAUUGUGGCUUCAACGUCAUACUUGCUUCAAAAAGAGGCACUUGGAAAUUUCCUUCCUUUUCUAUGUUCUGGAGAAGGUUAGAUCAUGUUAAGAUAAUCUGUUUUUAUACGAUUGGUUAGAAUUCACUUUUGAAGUAUCUGGUUUGGUAUCUUUCAUUGGCAGUAUCUCUGACAGAAAUCUCUUUUAAUUUUAUAAAAAUAGGUCCAUUCAGGAGCUCCCUAGUGGCUCAGCUGGUUAAGAAUCUGGCGUUGUCACUACUGUGGUACAGGUUCCAUCCCUGGCCCAGGAACUUCCGCAGGCAGGAGAGGCCAAAAAGAAAAAAAAAAGAAAAGAAAAAAAA